AGUGAACGCUGGCGGCAGGCCUAACACAUGCAAGUCGAACGGCAGCACAAGAGAGCUUGCUCUCUGGGUGGCGAGUGGCGGACGGGUGAGGAAUGCAUCGGGAUCUGCCCAUUUGUGGGGGAUAACCUCGGGAAACCGGGACUAAUACCGCAUACGACCUACGGGUGAAAGCAGGGGAUCUUCGGACCUUGCGCAGAUGGAUGAGCCGAUGCCGGAUUAGCUAGUUGGAGGGGUAAAGGCCCACCAAGGCGACGAUCCGUAGCUGGUCUGAGAGGAUGAUCAGCCACACUGGGACUGAGACACGGCCCAGACUCCUACGGGAGGCAGCAGUGGGGAAUAUUGGACAAUGGGCGCAAGCCUGAUCCAGCCAUGCCGCGUGUGUGAAGAAGGCCUUCGGGUUGUAAAGCACUUUUGUUGGGAAAGAAAAGCAGCCGGUUAAUACCCGGUUGUCAUGACGGUACCCAAAGAAUAAGCACCGGCUAACUUCGUG
rnacentral:rRNA from 1 species